CGUCUCCUCCUCGAACCCGUUCUCGCGUGUCCACGCCUCCGCCCGCCGCCGGCUGGCGAUUUCUCUCCCCAGCCCCUCCUCUCCCAUUCGUUCCCUCCUCGCCUCUCCCUCCUCCGGUCGAUCUCCCGUCGUCGACAUAGCCGGCCGGGAGAAGCACCACCCUUGGGCGUAAGUGCUGCCUCCCAUCAUCGCCAAGCUCAGCCAGUAGCCGACUGUCGCCUCCCGUCGUCACCAUGGCCGGCCAGUAACAGCCCUGGCCUUGGCGUGAGCGCCGUGUGCGGCUCAAGCGGGCCCCUGGGCUUGGGCGGGAUAUGGAAUUUGUGAAGGCGGCCGCUGGUCCUUCUUAUGGUGAAGAAGAGAAAGGGGUGCGGCCGCCGUUGUCACAGACACGAAUGUGUAGAGGUCGAUCCGCAGCCAGGCCUCCUUGCCGGACCACCGUCCUCACUGGCCCAAGCCAAACAAGGUGCUCACGUUCGUGGUGCUCAGUGACUAGCCGAUGGUGGUGUACUACCACUGGUGAGAACUAGGAGAAGGAAGAGGACAGAAAGAGAGAUGGAGCGGCAAGACUACUUGAUCCCAGAUGCAGGUCAAGAUAAGAGAGAAGGGGCAAGUUCAGAUUAGCACUCCCCCAGCGUAUGUGAGUUGGCACACUAGGACUUGGGAAAGCUCAGCUCAGCCGUGGCCAUGAUGUGCCUCCCUUCUAAAUUUUCAGAUAAGUAUUUUCUGAUCAGGUGCAUUUGAUUAAUUUGUCCUAUAUAUGAGUGGAUAUUUAGUUCUGGUGAAAGUAUGAUUUAUUGUUCAUAUCAAAAUACAUAUGAGGCUAGGGCUCUGUAAGCACAAGAUUGUGCUGAGCUUUAUUUGUGGCUUGAAAUUUAGAUAGUUGCAUGGAUAAGUUCAUACAUGACAUACAGUCAUAAUCAUUUGCAAAUUUUGUGUCUUUUAAUGUUUCCAAAUAAUUUUCUGCUGCAUAAAGACUUUCCAACGUCUUCAUGUAUUGUGACAUAUAUGUUAAUGUUCCUAAUGAUAUGCUCGGUGCUUAGCAUUAAAGAGGGUGUUUUUAUGGAACAACCAGAGAGGAGGAAAGGCUCGCUCGGCAAGGUCCAUGGCAUGCUAGCAUUGGCAAAAUAAAUGUUUACAUAUUUCUUUUGUGGAGGACGUCGCCCGGCAGCAGGCUUCUUGUUGUCUUACACGUCUUCUCCCCAUGCCACCAGAUUUAUAAGCAACGCCACAUUGCUUCUCUUCGCUGGUUCUUGCAGUAGUACCCAUGUAAAUAUAUUUGACUGAAUGGAUAAUUCAAGUUUGAGAAUAUGAAUUGUUCCCUUGCAAAGAUAUGUUUUUCUUAUCAACGUUAUGUUGUAUUAUAAAAAAUCAUUGUUUCAGAUUCAUCAGGCGUUAUUUCGCUAGAUUGUUACCCUAUGAAUUGGGAUCAUUGUUUUCUUAUACCUAGAAUUUUUAUCUGACAGGUUAUUUGUGAUAUUGCAACCAAAUCUGAUGUGCACCAGUGUUUGAAUAUGACCUUUUCAUCGAAGAAGCUAACUUGUCUUGCUAGAAAGAGUAUACCACAGCAAAUCAUAUGCAGUCCAAAGGAUACCGUGAUUGGGACUGGUUGCCACCAGUAUUGGCCUCACACCUUGUACUGCCUUUCUCACAUCGCGCCGUUCGAUGACUCCAUUUAUGUCAUUUUCUUGCACUGUAUGCAUCUAUGGUGCUUCUAAGCUAGGCGAGGAGACGAGGACACUUGAGGCUGUUGGGCCUUUUUGCUACAGAGUUUGGAAAUUCCUUGACGUUGGCCAAUUAUAGUCCUUUAUAUGCAAGCCUCUAAUUUAUGUUACAUGGUUUCAUAGUGUAGUGAUUUUUCUUAAUGGAUUUUUCCCAAUCUAAUAAUCUACUUGAUCAAGCGUUAGUGUAAGGUUAGUUUGUUCAGCAGUACCAGGCUGAGCCAGAAGGCGAGCUCGCUUCUUUUGUUGUGGUCCUCAUAUAUUUUUGUUAUCAAUUCAUUUUGGAGAUUCACAUUCGA